rnacentral:pre_miRNA from 1 species
AAGCUCUCGUUGGAGAAGCAGUGCACGUGCUCAUUUUAAAACUAGUGGCACGCAACUGUUUUUAGUUACGUGUGUGAAAUGUGCACGUGCUCCCCUUCUCCAACACGCGCUC